GACGAACGCUGGCGGCGUGCUUAACACAUGCAAGUCGAACGGAAAGGCCCUGCUUUUGUGGGGUGCUCGAGUGGCGAACGGGUGAGUAACACGUGAGUAACCUGCCCUUGACUUUGGGAUAACUUCAGGAAACUGGGGCUAAUACCGGAUAGGAGCUCCUGCUGCAUGGUGGGGGUUGGAAAGUUUCGGCGGUUGGGGAUGGACUCGCGGCUUAUCAGCUUGUUGGUGGGGUAGUGGCUUACCAAGGCUUUGACGGGUAGCCGGCCUGAGAGGGUGACCGGCCACAUUGGGACUGAGAUACGGCCCAGACUCCUACGGGAGGCAGCAGUGGGGAAUAUUGCACAAUGGGCGGAAGCCUGAUGCAGCAACGCCGCAUGCGGGAUGACGGCCUUCGGGUUGUAAACCGCUUUCGCCUGUGACGAAGCGUGAGUGACGGUAAUGGGUAAAGAAGCACCGGCUAACUACGUGCCAGCAGCCGCGGUGAUACGUAGGGUGCGAGCGUUGUCCGGAUUUAUUGGGCGUAAAGGGCUCGUAGGUGGUUGAUCGCGUCGGAAGUGUAAUCUUGGGGCUUAACCCUGAGCGUGCUUUCGAUACGGGUUGACUUGAGGGAGGUAGGGGAGAAUGGAAUUCCUGGUGGAGCGGUGGAAUGCGCAGAUAUCAGGAGGAACACCAGUGGCGAAGGCGGUUCUCUGGGCCUUUCCUGACGCUGAGGAGCGAAAGCGUGGGGAGCGAACAGGCUUAGAUACCCUGGUAGUCCACGCUGUAAACGGUGGGUACUAGGUGUGGGGUCCAUUCCACGGGUUCCGUGCCGUAGCUAACGCUUUAAGUACCCCGCCUGGGGAGUACGGCCGCAAGGCUAAAACUCAAAGGAAUUGACGGGGCCCCGCACAAGCGGCGGAGCAUGCGGAUUAAUUCGAUGCAACGCGUAGAACCUUACCUGGGUUUGACAUGGAUCGGGAGCGCUCAGAGAUGGGUGUGCCUCUUUUGGGGUCGGUUCACAGGUGGUGCAUGGCUGUCGUCAGCUCGUGUCGUGAGAUGUUGGGUUAAGUCCCGCAACGAGCGCAACCCUUGUUCACUGUUGCCAGCACGUUAUGGUGGGGACUCAGUGGAGACCGCCGGGGUCAACUCGGAGGAAGGUGGGGAUGACGUCAAGUCAUCAUGCCCCUUAUGUCCAGGGCUUCACGCAUGCUACAAUGGCUGGUACAGAGAGUGGCGAGCCUGUGAGGGUGAGCGAAUCUCGGAAAGCCGGUCUCAGUUCGGAUUGGGGUCUGCAACUCGACCUCAUGAAGUCGGAGUCGCUAGUAAUCGCAGAUCAGCAACGCUGCGGUGAAUACGUUCCCGGG
rnacentral:rRNA from 1 species